rnacentral:rRNA from 2 species
AACUUAAAUGAUUUCUUCGGAAUGAACUUAAGUGGAUUAGUGGCGGACGGGUGAGUAACGCGUGAGUAACCUGCCUUACACAAGGGGAUAGCCGUUGGAAACGACGAAUAAUACCCUAUGAAACUAUCACUUCGCAUGAAGCGAUAGUCAAAGUGUUAGCGGUGUAAGAUGGACUUGCGUCUGAUUAGCUAGUUGGUGAGAAAAAAGCCCACCAAGGCAACGAUCAGUAGCCGGCUUGAGAGAGUGUACGGCCACAUUGGGACUGAGACACGGCCCAGACUCCUACGGGAGGCAGCAGUGGGGAAUUUUGCACAAUGGGGGAAACCCUGAUGCAGCGACGCCGCGUGAUUUAGAAGGCCUUCGGGUUGUAAAAAUCUUUUGUAUAGGAAGAAAAUGACAGUACUAUACGAAUAAGGUCCGGCUAAUUACGUGCCAGCAGCCGCGGUAAUACGUAAGGACCGAGCGUUGUCCGGAAUCAUUGGGCGUAAAGGGUACGUAGGCGGGUCAUUAAGUUAGAAGUCAAAGGCUAUAGCUCAACUAUAGUAAGCUUCUAAAACUGGCGACCUUGAGUAAUGGAAGGGAAAGUGGAAUUCCUAGUGUAGCGGUGGAAUGCGCAGAUAUUAGGAGGAAUACCGGUGGCGAAGGCGACUUUCUGGCCAUUAACUGACGCUGAGGUACGAAAGCGUGGGUAGCAAACAGGAUUA